GCGCCCCGCGCCCGUCCCGCCGCCCCCGCCCGCCUACGGGAGGCAGCAGUGGGGAAUAUUGCACAAUGGGGGAAACCCUGAUGCAGCCAUGCCGCGUGUGUGAAGAAGGCCUUCGGGUUGUAAAGCACUUUCAGUUGUGAGGAAAGUUUAGUAGUUAAUACCUGCUAGAUGUGACGUUAGCAACAGAAGAAGCACCGGCUAACUCCGUGCCAGCAGCCGCGGUAAUACGGAGGGUGCGAGCGUUAAUCGGAAUUACUGGGCGUAAAGCGCACGCAGGCGGUCUGUUAAGCUAGAUGUGAAAGCCCCGCGCUCAACGUGGGAGGGUCAUUUAGAACUGGCAGACUAGAGUCUUGGAGAGGGGAGUGGAAUUCCAGGUGUAGCGGUGAAAUGCGUAGAGAUCUGGAGGAACAUCAAUGGCGAAGGCAACUCCCUGGCCAAAGACUGACGCUCAUGUGCGAAAGUGUGGGUAGCGAACAGGAUUAGAUACCCUGGUAGUCCACACCGUAAACGCUGUCUACUAGCUGUUUGUGGAUUUAAUCCGUGAGUAGCGCCAGC
rnacentral:rRNA from 1 species